UCUCUCAAAAAAUAAUGCUUCAAAAUAAUGUUUCAACGUUCAGACCACUUGUCUCUUUCUCUCUCAAUCUUUUCAUACUCUCAUUUCUUGUCUCGAUCUAAAACCUUCACAGACCAGAACCUUCUCUCUCUCUCUCUCUUCAUCCUUCUCCCUCGUCUCCUCUCCGGAUCCACCAGCACCACUAGUAGCAGAUGGAUGAUACGGAAGAAACCGAGAUCAUUCUCUCUCUCUCUCUCUCUCUCUCUAUCACAGGCCCCUCUUCGCAUUUCACAAAGAAGAUGAAAACAAACAUGAGAACCAAGAUCGUAGAUCAUUCUCCCCCAUUUCACAGAUCACAGAUCAAGGAGCCCUAUUUGAGCCCCAUUCGCAGAUCGCAGAAAUCGAAACAGAGUUGUCACCAAAAAUCGAAACCUCGUCUCAAAUCCAUCAACCACCAGAAAUUUCUGGGAGACAUCCUGGAAGAUCCAGCAAAUGAGCCAAACAAAGAUACAUACAUGAUGACUAUUGAGCCAGAAGAUGCACCCAACCAACCUGAAUAUGUACAAAUUGGGAUGGUUUCAGGGCUUCCUGUUUCAGUCAAUGGAAAGGAAUUCUCCCCUGCAUCUCUGCUUUCUGAGCUGAAUGAAAUUGGUGGGCAUAUUAUUUUUGUUCUUUUCAAAAAUCUGACUAUGAUGAGUUUUAUUGAUUGCAUGGUGGAUCCAAGAACAUGCAUAAAUGUCACCCCAUGUAUUGUACAAUUGGGGAAAACCAUUUUAAACGUAAGUCCUGGGUCAUCAAAUGCAUCUGGUUCUAGCUCAUCAAAAGAGCAGCAUAAUCAACAAUAUCCAGUGCCAGAGGUCAAAUGCAGAAAGCGACAUCAGAGAAAGCAUUUUGAGAACCAAAAACCAUGUCUGAUGAGAGGUGUCUAUUUUAAGAAUAUGAAAUGGCAGGCAGCCAUAAAAGUUGACAAGAAACAAAUUUACUUGGGAACUGUUGGAUCUCAAGAAGCUGCUGCUCGUUUGUAUGACAGGAUGUGAAUCAGGGUGCAGCAGCUUUCUCUCAAGUUUCUAACCGUCACUUGCUGACUCCACAUCAGGGCCAUCUUCCUAAGCAUCAAGACAGGACCAAGGAUUGGAAGUGAUAUCAGAAGGUUUGGAUACAUUAAAAAACAUGGCCCAUGAUUUGAAUGAGGAAAUUGAUAGGCAAGUUCCUUUAAUGGACGCAUUGACACUAAGGUCGACAAUGCAACAUCUGACCUUAAGAACACCAAUGUGAGACUUAAGGAUACUGUUAGCCAGCCAGCUGAGAUCCAGUCGAAAUUUCUGUAUUGAUAUUAUGCUGUUGUGCAUAAUUCUUGGGAUUGCCGCCUAUCUAUACAAAGACCGAGAGGAUUGAAGGCCAUGAGAAGGAGCAUGGAGAGCGAUUCAGAAUGACAAUGAAGGAUGGAUGGGGGCUUUCCUUCGGAUUCUUAUUUCUCUUUUUUUUUCUUUUUUCUUUUUUUCCUUUGAUCUGAUUGGGGAGUUGGGUGUUUUGGUUCACUUUCUUCUUAUUUUUUGUGUUAGAUGGGGGAGGGAGUGGUGAGAGAUAGAGAGAGAGAACAGAGUAAUAUUAUUUUGUGGCUUUGUAUACAAAGUAGUAAUUAAUUUUUUGGUUGAAAAUUGUGAAUACAAUUUUUGGGGGUAAUAUUAAAAUAUCAUUUGUGGGUAAUGGUGAUUGGUGAAUGGGAAAGUGAAUUAAUGAUGCAUUUGUUAUUUGAA